ACUCCACCGCUUGCGGCCCCUUAGGGGAGACCGCAAGAGGAAAGUCCGGGCAGCGCAGGGCACCACGCCGGCUAACGGCCGGGGCCUCCCGAAUGGGGGAGGUACGGAAAGUGCCACAGAAAGCUAAACCGCCUUUCCCUUCGGGGAAGGGUAAGGGUGAAAACGUGCGGUAAGAGCGCACGACGUUGCGUGGUAACACGGAGCGUGGGUAAACCCCGUGGGUUGAAAUACCGAGCAGUAUUGUUGCCGCUUGCGGCAGCCGGCGGUCCGUCGGUUCUUUCGGGAGCAAUGCGGGUAGGUAGAUAGAGCCCGGUAGCAAUGCCGGGCCUGGAUAAAUGGUGGAGCUCACCGCCUUCGGGCGGUGAUGACAGAACCCGGCUUA
rnacentral:RNase_P_RNA from 1 species